rnacentral:rRNA from 1 species
GAUGGACGCUGGCGGCGUGCCUAAUACAUGCAAGUCGAGCGAACGGACGAGAAGCUUGCUUCUCUGAUGUUAGCGGCGGACGGGUGAGUAACACGUGGAUAACCUACCUAUAAGACUGGGAUAACUUCGGGAAACCGGAGCUAAUACCGGAUAAUAUUUUGAACCGCAUGGUUCAAAAGUGAAAGACGGUCUUGCUGUCACUUAUAGAUGGAUCCGCGCUGCAUUAGCUAGUUGGUAAGGUAACGGCUUACCAAGGCAACGAUGCAUAGCCGACCUGAGAGGGUGAUCGGCCACACUGGAACUGAGACACGGUCCAGACUCCUACGGGAGGCAGCAGUAGGGAAUCUUCCGCAAUGGGCGAAAGCCUGACGGAGCAACGCCGCGUGAGUGAUGAAGGUCGUCGGAUCGUAAAACUCUGUUAUUAGGGAAGAACAUAUGUGUAAGUAACUGUGCACAGCUUGACGGUACCUAAUCAGAAAGCCACGGCUAACUACGUG